AACGAACGCUGGCGGCGUGCCUAACACAUGCAAGCCGUGCGAGAAAGUUCCUUCGGGAGCGAGUAAAGCGGCGCACGGGUGAGUAACACGUAGGUAACCUGCCCCCCAGUCUGGAACAACUAGAGGAAACUCUAGCUAAUGCCGGAUGAGACCACGAUCCCUUCGGGGGUUGCGGCCAAAGAUGGCCUCUACUUGUAAGCUAUCGCUGAGGGAUGGGCCUGCGGGCCAUUAGCUUGUUGGUGAGGUAACGGCUCACCAAGGCUGUGAUGGCUAGCUGGUCUGAGAGGAUGACCAGCCACACUGGGACUGAGACACGGCCCAGACUCCUACGGGAGGCAGCAGUGGGGAAUAUUGCGCAAUGGGCGAAAGCCUGACGCAGCGACGCCGCGUGGGUGAUGAAGGCCUUC
rnacentral:rRNA from 1 species